UACGAAGGGGCUAGCGUUGCUCGGAAUCACUGGGCGUAAAGGGUGCGUAGGCGGGUCUUUAAGUCAGGGGUGAAUCCUGGAGCUCAACUCCAGAACUGCCUUGAUACUGAAGAUCUUGAGUUCGGGAGAGGUGAGUGGAACUGCGAGUGUAGAGGUGAAAUUCGUAGAUAUUCGCAAGAACACCAGUGGCGAAGGCGGCUCACUGGCCCGAUACUGACGCUGAGGCACGGAAAGCGUGGGAGCAACAGG
rnacentral:rRNA from 1 species